UACGUAGGCAGCGAGCGUUGUUCGGAGUUACCGGGCGUAAAGCGUGCGUAGGCGGUUUUGUAAGUUUGGUGUGAAAUCUCCCGGCUCAACUGGGAGGGUGCGCCGAAAACUGCAAGGCUGGAGUGUGGGAGAGGUAGGCGGAAUUCCUGGUGUAGCGGUGAAAUGCGUAGAUAUCAGGAGGAACACCUGUGGUGUAGACGGCUUACUGGACCAUGACUGACGCUGAGGCACGAAAGCGUGGGGAGCAAACAGG
rnacentral:rRNA from 1 species